ACUAGUGAACACUACGCCCCGCGGGUAUAUUCACAACUAUCGUCUCCACUUUUACUUUUACUUUGCUUUGUUUCCUUUUUGCUUUCAGUUCUCACUUUGCAAACAAUCUAUAAGGGAUUGACAACCCCUUCAUAGCGUUUGGUGCAAGCUCUUUGUGUUUGUGCAGGUACUUGUGACUUGACGCGAUCCUCCUACUGGAUUGAUACCUUGGUUCUCAAAUUGAGGUAAAUACUUAAUGCCGUUGUACUACAUCACCCUUUCCUCUUCAAGGGAACACCUACACAAGGCUCCAAGGCCGCGGGGAAUCCUUUGCAUAUGUGCCAAGGAAAUCCCUAUAGGCGUAGCCCGUAGCAGAAGGAUUCCUGGCGCCGUUGCCGGGGAAGGUCUUUUGUUGCCGUAGCAGAAGGAUUUCUGGCACCGUUGCCGGGGAGAGAUCAAGUCAAGAUCUAUCCAAGUAGGUGUCACAAACUUAUCUCUUGCAUUACCUUUUUUGCCAGUUGCCUCUCGUUUUCCUCUCCCCCACUUCACAUUUGCCGUUUUCAUUUGCCUUUCUCCUUUGCCGUUUUCAUUUGCC
rnacentral:lncRNA from 1 species